UGAACUUAAGCAUAUCAAUAAGCGGAGGAAAAGAAAAUAACAAUGAUUCCCCUAGUAACUGCGAGUGAAGAGGGACAAGCUCAAAUUUUAAAUCUAUCGGGUUUUACCCGAUCGAGUUGUAAUUUGAAGAGGCGUUUUCUGUGUUUCUGAUCAGUCCAAGUCCUUUGGGAUAAGGCAUCAUGGAGGGUGAGAAUCCCGUCCGGUUGAUCAGAUUCGCUUUACGAUACGCUUUCUAAGAGUCAAGUUGUUUGGGAUUGCAGCUUAAAAUGGGAGGUAAAUUUCUCCUAAGGCUAAAUAACGGCGAGAGACCGAUAGCGAACAAGUACCGUGAGGGAAAGAUGAAAAGAACUUUGAAAAGAGAGUUAAACAGUACGUGAAAUUGUUGAAAGGGAAACGAUUGAAGCCAGUCGUACCUAUGGGUAAUCAGCCUUUUGGGUGUGAUUUUGUGGAGCGUGAGGAGUUAAACGCCUUCAUGCCUGCAUAUUCGUGCACUUUGGGUGUACUUGCCCGUAUGGUUGGUUAACAUCAAUUUUGGUGGUCAUAAAAUGACUGGAGGAAUGUAGCUUCGAUCUCGUAUUGAAGUGUUAUAGCCUUCGGUAGAUGUGAUGAUCGAGAUUGAGGAUUGCAACGGAUACCCUUCGGGGCUACCUGUCUGAUCUCUGAUCGUUGCUCUGGUGCCGAAAGCUUGCUUACGGUUAUCAAAGUCGAUGGUCAAUAGGUUAGAACGGGUUAAAUUCGUUAAGGAUGUUGACGUAAUGGCUUUAAACGACCCGUCUUGAAACACGGACCAAGGAGUCUAACAUAUAUGCGAGUGUUAGGGUGAUUAAACCCUUACGCGUAAUGAAAGUAAUUUUGGUGGGAACAUUUUUGUGCACCAUCGACCGAUCAGGAUAUUUUUUGAUAGAUUUGAGUAAGAGCAUAUCUGCUAGGACCCGAAAGAUGGUGAACUAUGCCUGAAUAGGGUGAAGUCAGAGGAAACUCUGAUGGAGGCUCGUAGCGGUUCUGACGUGCAAAUCGAUCGUCAAAUUUGGGUAUAGGGGCGAAAGACUAAUCGAACCAUCUAGUAGCUGGUUCCUGCCGAAGUUUCCCUCAGGAUAGCAGAAACUCGUUAACAGUUUUAUGAGGUAAAGCGAAUGAUUAGAGGCCUUAGGGUUGAAACAGCCUUAACCUAUUCUCAAACUUUAAAUAUGUAAGAAGUUUAUCGUUACUUAAUUGAACGUGAACAUUCGAAUGA
rnacentral:rRNA from 1 species